GCCGCAGAUUCUAAGCCCCUUCCACUUGCUUGCUCAUUCCUUCUCUAAUAGAAGCUGCUGAGUCAACAUGUGUCAUUGUCACCAGAUGAAUCAUAGAAGUCACUGGGGCAUGGUGUCAUAACUUCAGAUUCAAGUAACUGAACUACCCUGUGCAUGGUGGGUCGAUCCUCUGGGCUUGAAGAGACACAUUGGGUGGCAAUUGAAAGCAGCGCAUCAAGGCUUUCUAUUUGUACGCCCUCACAAUUGGGAUCAACAAUAUCUCGUUGCCUAUUCUCCGUGACCAAAAAAUUUAACCAACCAACAAUGUUAAGGCCCUUCUCAAUGAAUGAUGCAUCUGUGGGUCGCUUUCCACUUAAUACUUCAAGCACCAAGACCCCAAAACUAUAAACAUCAGUCUUUUCAGUUGCUCUACCACUCUGCAUGUAUUCAGGAGCUAGAUAACCAAAUGUUCCUGCAACAGUUGUUGUAAUGUGUGAUUCUUCAUCCUCUAACAGUUUGGCAAGUCCAAAGUCAGAUACACGGGCCUCCAAAUUGGCAUCAAGCAAAAUGUUGCUUGACUUUAUGUCACGGUGUAUGAUCCUAGGGGAACAGUCAUGAUGCAGGUAGGCCAGUCCUUUUGCUGCUCCCAUAAUGAUAUUCAGACGUGCAUCCCAGUCCAGUUGCUCAGAUCUUUCGUGGAGUGCUUCAUCAAGACUACCACCAGCGAGGAAAUCAUAAAUUAACAACUUCGAGGUAGUAGAAUUGCAAUAACCUCGCAAGUUCACCAAGUACCGAUGUUUUAUGCUUCCUAGAAUCUCAAGUUCCCUCUCAAAGAAACGAUCAAAACCCUCAUUCAUCCUUAAAAUUCUUUUCAAGGCAAAUACAUUGCCAUCAUCCAUAGCAAGCUUGUACACUUUUCCAAAGCCACCACAACCUAUGAUAUGUUCCUCAUUCAAGUUCUCUAAUUUCUUAAUUAUGUCUUUUGAUGAGUAUGGCAAGUCCCCAUGAAACAUUACAAUUGAAGCACCUCCACUAACAUCCAUUGCAUCACUUUCACUUUUACCAAACUUCUUAUAAAGAAAGCAACCCCAAAAACACAUAAGUGCCACCAGAAGGAGUGCACCAAUAGUUGCCGAAGCACUAAUAAACAGUCUUCCUGAGUAUUUCUUCUUUCCACCUUGAUUUUGGGCUGAUUGAGGAGAUUGUGAAUUAGUUGAAGGUCCUCCACUUUCAUCUUUACAAUUCAUAUUGAUCUGCCUCCCGCACAAGCCACGAUUCCCAGCGAAAGAGCUUUCUGUAAAGUUGAUAAGCACACCAUCAGAUGGUAUUGGUCCAACAAGAAAAUUGUUCGAUACAUUGAAAGUAAUGAGUUUAUUUAACUUCCCAAUAGAUGAUGGGAUUGACCCACUGAGAGAGUUGCUUGAGAUAUCCAAAUAUUGAAGCUCUGACAAGUUUCCUAGUUCACCUGGAAUUAGC
rnacentral:misc_RNA from 1 species